rnacentral:rRNA from 1 species
UACGGAGGAUCCAAGCGUUAUCCGGAUUUAUUGGGUUUAAAGGGUGCGUAGGUGGCUUCUUAAGUCAGGGGUGAAAGACGGUAGCUUAACUAUCGCAGUGCCUUUGAUACUGAUGAGCUUGAAUGAACUAGAGGUAGGCGGAAUGUGACAAGUAGCGGUGAAAUGCAUAGAUAUGUCACAGAACACCAAUUGCGAAGGCAGCUUACUAUGGUUAGAUUGACACUGAGGCACGAAAGCGUGGGGAUCAAACAGG